UGCCAGCUACAGCUCGUAGAGUUUGUGCCUGGCAUCAGAUUAAAACCUUGCUUCUAUGACGUUAGCGGCGGACGGGUGAGUAACACGUGGGCAACCUGCCUGUAAGACUGGGAUAACUCCGGGAAACCGGAGCUAAUACCGGAUAACAUUUUUUCUUGCAUAAGAGAAAAUUGAAAGAUGGUUUCGGCUAUCACUUACAGAUGGGCCCGCGGUGCAUUAGCUAGUUGGUGAGGUAACGGCUCACCAAGGCAACGAUGCAUAGCCGACCUGAGAGGGUGAUCGGCCACACUGGGACUGAGACACGGCCCAGACUCCUACGGGAGGCAGCAGUAGGGAAUCUUCCGCAAUGGACGAAAGUCUGACGGAGCAACGCCGCGUGAGUGAUGAAGGCUUUCGGGUCGUAAAACUCUGUUGUUAGGGAAGAACAAGUACAAGAGUAACUGCUUGUACCUUGACGGUACCUAACCAGAAAGCCACGGCUAACUACGUGCCAGCAGCCGCGGUAAUACGUAGGUGGCAAGCGUUAUCCGGAAUUAUUGGGCGUAAAGCGCGCGCAGGCGGUUUCUUAAGUCUGAUGUGAAAGCCCACGGCUCAACCGUGGAGGGUCAUUGGAAACUGGGGAACUUGAGUGCAGAAGAGAAAAGCGGAAUUCCACGUGUAGCGGUGAAAUGCGUAGAGAUGUGGAGGAACACCAGUGGCGAAGGCGGCUUUUUGGUCUGUAACUGACGCUGAGGCGCGAAAGCGUGGGGAGCAAACAGGAUUAGAUACCCUGGUAGUCCACGCCGUAAACGAUGAGUGCUAAGUGUUAGAGGGUUUCCGCCCUUUAGUGCUGCAGCUAACGCAUUAAGCACUCCGCCUGGGGAGUACGGUCGCAAGACUGAAACUCAAAGGAAUUGACGGGGGCCCGCACAAGCGGUGGAGCAUGUGGGUUUAAAUUCGAGCAACGCGAAGAACCCUACCAGGUCUUGACAUCCUCUGACACUCUAGAGAUAAGCGUUCCCCUUCCGGGGGACAAUGACAGUGGUGCAUGGUUGUCUUCAGCUCCUGGCCUGAGAUUUGGGUUAAGU
rnacentral:rRNA from 2 species